rnacentral:rRNA from 1 species
UACGAAGGGGGCUAGCGUUGUUCGGAAUUACUGGGCGUAAAGGGCGCGUAGGCGGCCGAUUAAGUUAGAUGUGAAAGUCCUGGGCUCAACCUGGGGACUGCAUUUAGUACUGGUUGGCUUGAAUUCGGGAGAGGAUAGCGGAAUUCCCAGUGUAGAGGUGAAAUUCGUAGAUAUUGGGAAGAACACCGGUGGCGAAGGCGGCUAUCUGGACCGACAUUGACGCUGAGGCGCGAAAGCGUGGGGAGCAAACAGG